GAUGAACGCUAGCGGCAGGCUUAACACAUGCAAGUCGAGGGGUAUAGGUUUUCGGACCUAGAGACCGGCGCACGGGUGCGUAACGCGUAUGCAAUCUACCUUUUACAGAGGGAUAGCCCAGAGAAAUUUGGAUUAAUACCUCAUAGUAUAGUACAACCGCAUGGUUGAACUAUUAAAGUCACAACGGUAAAAGAUGAGCAUGCGUCCCAUUAGCUUGUUGGUAAGGUAACGGCUUACCAAGGCGACGAUGGGUAGGGGUCCUGAGAGGGAGAUCCCCCACACUGGUACUGAGACACGGACCAGACUCCUACGGGAGGCAGCAGUGAGGAAUAUUGGUCAAUGGGCGCAAGCCUGAACCAGCCAUGCCGCGUGCAGGAUGACGGUCCUAUGGAUUGUAAACUGCUUUUGUACAGGAAGAAACAGUUCUACGUGUAGAACCUUGACGGUACUGUAAGAAUAAGGAUCGGCUAACUCCGUGCCAGCCGCCGCAGUAAAAC
rnacentral:rRNA from 1 species